GACGAACGCUGGCGGCGUGCUUAACACAUGCAAGUCGAACGGAAAGGCCCUGCUUUUGUGGGGUGCUCGAGUGGCGAACGGGUGAGUAACACGUGAGUAACCUGCCCUUACUUUGGGAUAACUUCAGGAAACUGGGGCUAAUACCGGAUAGGAGCUCCUGCUGCAUGGUGGGGGUUGGAAAGUUUCGGCGGUUGGGGAUGGACUUGCGGCUUAUCAGCUUGUUGGUGGGGUAGUGGCUUACCAAGGCUUUGACGGGUAGCCGGCCUGAGAGGGUGACCGGCCACAUUGGGACUGAGAUACGGCCCAGACUCCUACGGGAGGCAGCAGUGGGGAAUAUUGCACAAUGGGCGGAAGCCUGAUGCAGCAACGCCGCGUGCGGGAUGACGGCCUUCGGGUUGUAAACCGCUUUCGCCUGUGACGAAGCGUGAGUGACGGUAAUGGGUAAAGAGGCACCGGCUAACUACGUG
rnacentral:rRNA from 1 species